AAAUUGAAGAGUUUGAUCAUGGCUCAGAUUGAACGCUGGCGGCAGGCCUAACACAUGCAAGUCGAACGGUAACAGGAAACAGCUUGCUGUUUCGCUGACGAGUGGCGGACGGGUGAGUAAUGUCUGGGAAAC
rnacentral:rRNA from 2 species